UAAAAGCAGUUAUUAAGUUUUUUUCUUUAAAGCUUUUGAACUUAAUAACACUUUAAGUUAACCUUGUAAACAUCAUUAAGUUUACCUUUAAAAGAUCAAAGAACAAUUAUUAAAACCUUUUUGAUCAGAUAACUAAUAAACUAACUAACUAAAUCAUCGAUGCAUAAUUAACUGCAUCAAUGAUUUUUUUUCAUUAUUUUUACCGCAAAAAAUGCAGAUUUAUCUGUUAAACUAAUGAUUUAAAAAGGCUUUUUUUUAUUAUCAACCAUUGGUUAUUUUUUACUUGUGAUUUUAGCUUUAAUGCUUAUAAAAAAAUCCAAUGAUAAAAGUUUUUUAGAAAAGUGUUGUACAAACUGAUUUGUUGUGCUAUAAUCUAUAAGGCUUAUAUAGCU
rnacentral:misc_RNA from 1 species